rnacentral:rRNA from 1 species
UACGAAGGGGGCUAGCGUUGCUCGGAAUUACUGGGCGUAAAGGGAGCGUAGGCGGACAGUUUAGUCAGAGGUGAAAGCCCAGGGCUCAACCUUGGAAUUGCCUUUGAUACUGACUGUCUUGAGUACGGGAGAGGUGUGUGGAACUCCGAGUGUAGAGGUGAAAUUCGUAGAUAUUCGGAAGAACACCAGUGGCGAAGGCGACUUACUGGACACAUAUUGACGCUGAGGUGCGAAAGCGUGGGGAGCAACAGG